UACGUAGGGGGCAAGCGUUAUCCGGAUUUACUGGGUGUAAAGGGAGCGUAGACGGCGGUGCAAGCCAGAUGUGAAAGCCCGGGGCUCAACUCCGGGACUGCUUUUGAAACUGUGUGACUGGAGUGCAGGAGAGGUAAGCGGAAUUCCUGGUGUAGCGGUGAAAUGCGUAGAUAUCACGCAGAACCCCGAUUGCGAAGGCAGCAUACCGGUGCACAACUGACGCUCAGGCACGAAAGCGUGGGUAUCGAACAGG
rnacentral:rRNA from 1 species